rnacentral:lncRNA from 8 species
CUCAACUAAAUCUUGUAAUAAAUAAUGUGUAAAUUGAGCAAGUUGAGAUGACUAAACUGCUUGGAGUAACCCUGGAUUGUAAACUGUCAUGGUCAAAACAUAUUGAUACAACAGUAGCUAGGAUGGGGAGAAGUCUGUCCAUAAUAAAGUGCUGCUCUACCUUCUUAACAACACCAUCAACAAGGCAGGUCCUACAGGCCCUAGUUUCUACCUUCUUAACAACACUAUCACCAAGGCAGGUCCUACAUGCCCUAGUUUCUACCUUCUUAACAACACUAUCAACAAGGCAGGUCCUACAGGCCCUAGUUUCUACCUUCUUAACAACACUAUCAACAAGGCAGGUCCUACAGGCCCUAGUUUCUACCUUAACAACACUAUCAACAAGGCAGGUCCUACAGGCCCUAGUUUCUACCUUCUUAACAACACUAACAACAAGGCAGGUCCUACAGGCCCUAGUUUCUACCUUCUUAACAACAUUAUCAACAAGGCAGGUCCUACAGGCCCUAGUUUCUACCUUAACAACACUAUCAACAAGGCAGGUCCUACAGGCCCUAGUUUCUACCUUCUUAACAGCACUAUCAACAAGGCAGGUCCUACAGGCCCUAGUUUCUACCUUCUUACCAACACUAUCAACAAGGCAGGUCCUACAGGCCCUAGUUUCUACCUUCUUAACAACACUAUCAACAAGGCAGGUCCUACAGGCUCUAGUUUCUACCUUCUUAACAACACUAUCAACAAGGCAGAUCCUACAGGCCCUAGUUUUGUCGCACCUGGACUACUGUUCAGUCGUGUGGUCUGUUGCCACAAAAAGGGACUUGGGAAAAAUGCAAUUGUCUCAGAACAGGGCAGGACGGCUGGCCCUUGGAUGUGCACAUAGAGCUAACAUUAAUAAUAUGCAUGUCAAUCUCUCCUGGUUCAAAGUGGAGGAGAGAUUGACUUCAUCACUACUUUUAUUUAUGAGAGGUAUUGACAUGCUGAAUGCACCGAGCUGUCUGUUUAAAACUUCUCAGGGCUACGUGGGAUGCUACCGUCUCACCUGCGGGACACACUAUUCAACAGCCAGUGAAAUAGCAUGGCGCGAAAUACAAAACAGCAAAAAUCUCAUAAUUUCAUUUUCUCAAACAAUCAACUAUUUUACACCAUUUUAAAGAUAAGACUCUCGUUAAUCUAACCACAUUGUCCGAUUUCAAAAAGGCUUUACGGCGAAAGCAUAAAAUUAGAUUAUGUUAGGACAUAAACUUCACAAGAAAAACCACAAAGCCAUUUUCCAAGCAAGGACGUGCAUCACAAAACCAAAUAAUAAUAUACAAAUAUCGGACUCUGGGCCCGAGUAUUAGGCAGUUUACUCUGGGC